AAACUUGAGAGUUUGAUCCUGGCUCAGAACGAACGCUGGCGGCAGGCUUAACACAUGCAAGUCGAGCGCCUCGCAAGAGGAGCGGCAGACGGGUGAGUAACGCGUGGGAAUCUACCCAUCUCUACGGAACAACUCCGGGAAACUGGAGCUAAUACCGUAU
rnacentral:rRNA from 1 species